rnacentral:snRNA from 1 species
AUCGCUUCCCGGCCUUAUGGCUAAGAUUAAAGUGUAGUAUCUGUUCUUAUCAGCUUAGUAUCUGAUACGAUCCCCAUGUGGGAUCUUCGAUAUUAAACUGAUUUUUGGAUCUUGGCGAAGUGCUGGGGCUUGCCCCACCUUUGCCGCGGAUUGGCCCGGUAUUGCAGUGACUCCGGGAUCGGUCCACUCCCC